UACGUAGGGGGCUAGCGUUGUCCGGAAUCAUUGGGCGUAAAGCGCGCGUAGGCGGCCCGGUAAGUCCGCUGUAAAAGUCAAAGGCUCAACCUUUGAAUGUCAGUGGAUACUGCCGGGCUAGAGUCCGGAAGAGGCGAGUGGAACUCCUGGUGUAGCGGUGAAAUGCGCAGAUAUCAGGAAGAACACCUAUGGCGAAGGCAGCUCUCUGGGACGGUACUGACGCUGAGACGCGAAAGCGUGGGGAGCAAACAGG
rnacentral:rRNA from 1 species